UGGGGAAUAUUGCACAAUGGGCGAAAGCCUGAUGCAGCAACGCCGCGUGAGUGAUGAAGGCCUUCGGGUUGUAAAGCUCUGUCUUUUGGGACGAUAAUGACGGUACCAAAGGAGGAAGCCACGGCUAACUACGUGCCAGCAGCCGCGGUAAUACGUAGGUGGCAAGCGUUGUCCGGAUUUACUGGGCGUAAAGGAUGCGUAGGCGGAUUUUUAAGUGAGAUGUGAAAUACCCGGGCUUAACUUGGGUGCUGCAUUUCAAACUGGGAAUCUAGAGUGCGGGAGAGGAGAAUGGAAUUCCUAGUGUAGCGGUGAAAUGCGUAGAGAUUAGGAAGAACACCAGUGGCGAAGGCGAUUCUCUGGACCGUAACUGACGCUGAGGCAUGAAAGCGUGGGUAGCAAACAGGAUUAGAUACCCUGGUAGUCCACGCCGUAAACGAUGAGCACUAGGUGUAGGAGGUAUCGACCCCUUCUGUGCCGCAGUUAACACAAUAAGUACUCCGCCUGGGAAGUACGAUCGCAAGAUU
rnacentral:rRNA from 1 species